UGGGACCCUAGUGGCGGACGGGUGAGUAACGCGUGGGUAACCUGCCCCAUACCGGGGGAUAACACUUAGAAAUAGGUGCUAAUACCGCAUAAGCGCACGGUACUGCAUGGUACAGUGUGAAAAACUCCGGUGGUAUGGGAUGGACCCGCGUCUGAUUAGCUUGUUGGCGGGGUAACGGCCCACCAAGGCGACGAUCAGUAGCCGGCCUGAGAGGGUGGACGGCCACAUUGGGACUGAGACACGGCCCAAACUCCUACGGGAGGCAGCAG
rnacentral:rRNA from 1 species